GUUUCUGCAUGAAUUUCAUGUGUUGAUCUUGGUGGUUCAUCCAUUAUGCUUGAUUUUGGCUAACAUGGAAGGUGAUGCUUUGCACAGCCUAAGGACCAACUUACAGGAUCCUAACAAUGUCCUGCAGAGUUGGGAUCCUACCCUGGUUAACCCCUGUACAUGGUUUCAUGUCACCUGCAACAAUGAUAAUAGUGUCAUAAGAGUUGAUCUUGGGAAUGCAGCUUUGUCUGGUACACUUGUCCCACAGCUUGGCCUGCUCAGGAAUUUACAGUAUUUGUCAUCCCUAUCACGCUCAGGGACUUACAUGCAUGGCAAUAAGCCCCGAUUCUACAUGUGCCCUUACCGGUUCUAAGGAUGGUUCUGUAUGCAUUGUGAAUAUAACAACUGGGAGGGUUGUUAGCAAACUGGAUUCUCACUCAGAUUCAAUUGAAUGUAUUGUUUUUGCACCAAGCCAAGGACCAAGCUCCAACUGGGCCGCACAGGAGGCAUGGACAAGAAGCUUGUAGUCUGGGAUCUGCAGCACUCAAUGCCUCGUAGCACAUGCGAGCAUGAGGAUGGAGUGACAUGCUUGACAUGGCUUGGUGCAUCUAAUUACCUGGCAACAGGUUGUAUUGAUGGGAAGGUACGAGUAUGGGAUGGUCGCUCCGGUGAUUGUAUAAGGACCUUCAGCGGCCAUGACGGUGCGAUUCAAUCUCUAUCUGUAUCUGCUAACUGCGAUUUCCUUGUUUCAGUUUCAAUUGAUGAAACUGCCAGAGUUUUUGAGAUUGCAGAGUUUCUGUUAACAAAUAAGCUUUCUAUCCUUGAAGUAUCUGAGGUCUUCCUGGGGUAGCCAAGCUUUUAAUUUACAAAGGAAACAAGUUGAUCAUUAACAAUAUAUGCUUCGUGACCAAAUUCGUCACAUGGUAUUAUAUUCGGGCUCUUACAAGUAA